UCUGGGUGUAAAGGGUACGUAGGCGGUUAUUUAAGUUAUAAAAAAAAGCUAUAUCUUUUUAUAAUACUAUAUGACUAGAGUUAAAAAGGGGAUGGCGGUACCUCCAGUUUAGAAGUGACAUUCGUUUGAGAUUGGGGGGACCAACAAUAGGCGACGGCUGCUUUCCAUUUUUAUACUGACGCUGAGGUACGAAAGCAUGGGGAGCGAACAGGAUUAGAGACCCUGGUAGUCCAUGCCCUGACCUAUGAAUAUUAAUCGUCCAUUUAGAUAGUGGAUGACUAAGCUAACGCGAAAAUAUUCCACCUGAGGACUACGGCCGCAAGGUUAAAACUCAAAGAAAUUGGCGGAAGAUCGUUUAAGCGGUGGAGUAUGUGGUUUAAUUCGAUAAUACGCGAAAAACCUUACCAAUCUUUGUGCACAUUUUCGGUUAUACAAAACUCGUAGUCUGGAUUGAGGUGGUCAAUUUGGACUAAUUAUGUGCCAGGCGUUGCAUGGCUGUCGUAAGCUCGUGUCUUAGGAUGUGUGGUUAACUCCAUGAACGGGCGCAACCCUUGUUCCUAAUUAGAUUAGGAAUGAAAACAGUGAAAACUGCUUUUGAGGAUGAGGAGUAUGUCAAGUCAAUAUGACCUUUAUAGAUUGGGCUACACACGUACUACAACGGUAGCUACAAUGAGAAACAAUGCCGUGAGGCGGAGUAAAUCUCUAAAAUCUACCCUAGUUCGGAUUAUUUUUUGAAAUAAAAAUAUGAAGCCGGAAUCGCUAGUAAUCGCAAAAAAGAAUGUUGCGGUGAAUAUUAAGACCGAUCUUAGUACACACCGCCCGUCACGCCAUGGAAGCUUGUUUGGUUUGAAGAUAUUAAG
rnacentral:rRNA from 1 species